CUAUAUUUGUCAGCUAAGUGGCGCACGGGUGAGUAAUGUAUAGAUAACCUGCCCUCUAGAAAGGAAUAACAGUUGGAAACGACUGCUAAUGCCCUAUAUGCCUUUAAUACAUAAGUAUGCAAGGGAAACGCUUUAGUGCUAGAGGAUGGGUCUGUAUGGUAUCAGCUUGUUGGUGAGGUAAUGGCUCACCAAGGCUAUGACGCCUAACUGGUUUGAGAGGAUGAUCAGUCACACUGGAACUGAGACACGGUCCAGACUCCUACGGGAGGCAGCAGUGGGGAAUAUUGCACAAUGGACGAAAGUCUGAUGCAGCAACGCCGCGUGGAGGACGACACAUUUCGGUGCGUAAACUCCUUUUAUAUAGGAAGAUAAUGACGGUACUAUAUGAAUAAGCACCGGCUAACUCCGUGCCAGCAGCCGCGGUAAUACGGAGGGUGCAAGCGUUACUCGGAAUCACUGGGCGUAAAGAGCGUGUAGGCGGGUAUAUAAGUCAGAAGUGAAAUCCUAUAGCUUAACUAUAGAACUGCUUUUGAAACUGUAUACCUAGAAUG
rnacentral:rRNA from 1 species